rnacentral:lncRNA from 1 species
CGGACUGCUCCCCUCCCCUGGGCCAUCACGACCUCCUCUCCUCCGUCUUAAUUAAAUGCCCUUUCCUCCUGGUUUGGCAGCUCCUCCCUCAGCCUGGCUGUCUACACAGCAGGGCCCACGGGGCACUCUGUGUGGCCCCCUCCUCCCCGGCCUCCGCCCUCAGCCAAGCUCUCAACAACGCCCAGCGCGGGGCGGGCACAGACUGUGCAGGCCCUAAACCCUGGAAAGAUUAUGGGGCACACACCGGGAGGACGGCGGAGAGGUGAUCGCGGGCACACACGGCACAAUCGGGGGCGAUGCGCGGAGGCCCCGAGGCUGUGGUUUGCGCGGCUCAGAGGCGGCGCGCACUGACCCAGGCGGCGGGAGCGCGUGCUGCCGGGCGGCCCGGUCCGCGGCCCGGGGUCCGCACACUCACCGGACGGAGGCUGAACUCACCACCGACCCGUCCGCCCGGAGUGUGGGUCCCGCGAGGCCCGGGCGUCUGAGCGACGCGAACCGGGCGGCGCUGCGCCAUUCACACUGGGAGGUGCGGGCGCCGCGCGCGCUGCGGGUCCUCCGCGCCCGGUGGCUGGUCCCCAGGCAGCGGAGAAGGCCAUGGUGGACACCAAAGAGGAGGGGAGAGCGAAGGAAUUCUUCGCGGUUAGUUUGGCUGUGGGGCCGGUGGACUGGGGAAGCGGAGCUGACUCCCCGAGGAAUUUCCAGACCAGCCUGAACUCCAGCAGGUUGUGGGGUGGCUCUGUGUGGAACCCCACGGCAGCCACUUCUCAGCUGCAUAGCUAACCCUCUAUACCUAGACCCUUACCUGUGAACGGUGGCACCUACCCCGCAGGGUGGCGUGAGGAGUAAUGAGGCUGUGCCAGGUGCACCCACCUUUGUUCUUCGUUGGAAGGCCACGCCUGUUCGCAAGUACCGUCUGAGGACACGUGGAGCCCGUAACGCCCAUCAUUGGAGCAACAAUGCUGGACCGAGUUCUGAAGAUUCUCGUCAAAAUCCAGAGGGAUUGUAAAUUGAAACUUCCUAAAUGAGGUAAUUUAUACUCUGGGUUGAGACCAGCUCAUUUUCUUACUGGUAUGUGUGUGGAAAUAGAGGCUAAAGUGGCUCAUAUCCAUUUGGAUCCUAAUUUUCGGACGUGUAUUUGUGGUAAGAGCUUGUGAGCCAACUGCCUGAGGCCAGAUUCCCUGUCUUUUGAUAACUGGAGGAGGAGGGAAGAAAGAAGACCAGGGAAGGGGAAAGUACGCAAUAAAUCAGAGACUUGAAGCGUCUAGAUCACAAUUUUGAAACAUAAAGUGGAAUAGGAUGAAAGCUGGACAAUAAAUAAAAAACUGAAGCCGGUUUUAUCCUGGUGCAACGUUUGGAGUUUCUUCUUGAGCAGUGGGUGAGCAGCAAGUUUAACGACAGUUUCACCUGCUUCUUAAGUGUCCAGUGACUGUUGAAUGUCUCCUUCGAAACCAUCAGGCUGACAGAAACGAUCUUCCCGAGGUGGCUGAGGGAGAGGGGACAUCUGUCACGUCGGGUCCCAGCCGUGGCAUUCGUGCACGCCCCUGCUUGUCGGUGGGGGUGCUGGAGCUGCUCAGCGGGUGGACGCACAGAGGCUUGUACUGCUUGUGGUCUUAUGGCCACUCCAUUUCCUCAGCCUCCUUCCUUACAAUCUACUGCACAGGUUUCAUUUUCAGGGGACUCGGCUUGGCUUGAAGGGACGAGACAUAAGAAAAAGAACUGGUAGGACAUUCUGAACCUCUCGAAGAUCCAAUUUGACUUUCUGGAACCAAAAUUAAAUGGUUAUUGACUUCAAAUUGUUGGAGAACUGCUUUCAGGGUAAGGCGUUGUCUUGUCAGUCAGCGCUUCUGUUUCUGUGUGUCCAAAUUCUAGAAGUCUGGCAAAAGUUUUCGGUUGAACGGGGGUUUGUAUGUGUAUGGAUGAUGAGGACGGAGGGAGAACGCCAACUCAGUGUGCCUGAAAGAAGUUCUACAUUGUUUGAAAAUGUAAGAGGGACCUCACAAUUUUAAAGAUCUCUCUUUAUCUGUUUUUUAGGUAAACAAACUCAGAAUAUUUGAAUUCAUGUUCAUCUUCCCUAAUUAUAUUAAUUCUUGGUAUUUGGCCUUGGUCAACAUAUGAUGUCACACUGAGGAUUUUAUUCUUCUUCGGUCUCCUGCAGAUCUGUGUGUCUAUGGGUGCUCCAUCUGAAUCCCUUCACUGUGCACCUACUGUGCGCCAGGCUGUGUAAAACCAGAGACAAGGGAGGGAAGCUUCUGGUCCUUGAGUUCUUAGUUUAAUGAAGAGGCUGAGCAAAUUGGCCCAAAAGCAAACUGCAGGUCUGUCUGAUGAUGAAAUCGAAUCUUUUUCAGCUUUCUAAACAAAACUUGGAAAAAAGUUUUCUUCCAUUUUCAAUGUUCCCUUUGUUUGUAUUUUGAGCGUAAAGUCAUUGAUGAGAGAGAGUGUUUCCCAUCUAUUUUGUGCAUUCCCUUACCCCUCGAAGUUAAGACUUGUUAAAGGCUGAGCACACCCUUACUACGCAGUCAAGCCUUCAACAAGCACACCUGAGGGCCCUUUCCUGAGACGAGCGUGGUUACCGGGCUGAGAGUCUGCAGGCGCUGGUGGGCCUGGGUCACCAUCUCCAGCAGAGAGAUGAGCAGCAGCUGCUGGCGGGGGGGGGGGGGGGGGGGGGGUCAUUUCAAGACCCUGUAGACUACCUGUCGUGCACAGUGGGUUCGUCGAUAUUGGUCAGCUUCUCUAGUGCUAGCAUUGACAAAAUAGUGGCCGUUCUGGAGCAACGACGGAGGGGAGUCAUUGAAAAGGACUUACUUAUUACAACUGGAAAUCUUCCUGAUGACUCCCAGUGAAGCUGAGAUCAUCUGACCAACGGAGAAGUGAGGAAACACCAGCAUCUGACAUUUGAAUUCAAACCCUUUAAAAAAUUUUUCCUUGUUGAUUUGCUGCUGCCACACAAUAUUUGGUUAAUUGCGGAUGGUCUCAAGCUGUGCUCAUCGCUGCCGCGGCCGCCGGAGCCCCAGCCCGCUGCCACAGGACGGUUGGCACGCUCAGGAGCAGGCUCUCAGCGCCACGAGGACAGGAGCGUCCCAGAGUCCCGGACGGAUGGGCAGCUGGACGCCAGGCAAGGGAGCUCCAGUGGCAGUGUGCUGAGAAAGGACCCAGCAUCGGUGGACGAUCUUGAGUGAGCCACGUAACCUCUCUCUGUAGCUGUUUCCUGGUUAAAGACAAAAGAGUGGAGAUGGAUGCUACCAGCCUCGGAGAUCUUCAUGCCCACAGCUGAGACCCGUCCCGGGUGGGUGCUCUUGGAGAAUGCGUCCAGGCGUCAGAAUAGGGGUGAGGCGAGGUCGUUUGCAAGCCGUGGGAAUCGGGGCUUGUGACAGCAGGCGGCGUGAGUAAGGGAGGUGGAGGGUCAGUUGGUCCUGUGACAUCUGAGAGCACAGCCAGGACUCAGAGGCAGGCUGGUCUCUACAAAGGGGGCCGUUUUUCCCUUCUCUUCUCUCCACCCUCCAUGGGAAGCCACAAAGAUCUGAAGACUCGCACUCCACCCCAGCUCUCACCCUGGGAGAGAUUCUGUAUGUGCAUUUUUGUUUUAAAAAUUAUCAUACAAUAAAAUUAGGUUUUUGUCCCUUUUGGUAUGCAGUUCUAUGAAUUUUAACACAGGUAUGGAUUCAUAUGAUCCCCACUAUAACCAGGAUAUAGAACAAUUCCGUUAUCUUCAGACAGCCUCAUGCCGGCCCUCGAGUCUCACCAAUGGUGACCAACUGUCCUAGUUUUCCUGGGAUGUGGCACUUCCAGCAUUAAAACGCGGAAAGUUCCAGGGCAGCCAAGGCAGGUUGGCCACCCCACACGUCACCCCUAACCCUGGGAACAACUGUCUCUUUUCCAUCAUUAGUGUCUUUUCUAGAAUGUCAAGUAAGUUGGAUCAGCCAGUAACCUCUGAGGCUGCGACUCUCGCUCAGCACAGUGACUCUGAGGUUCGUUGGGUGUCCAGCACUUGGUGGUUCCUCUGAUGGCUGAGGGGUGCUCCACGGUGCAGAUAUGCCACUGUUUGGGUAGCUGUUGACUUGUGUCAGGACAUGUGGAUCGUUUCCAGCUUGUGGUUUUCCACAAAUAAAGCUGCUAAGAACCUUCGUGGAUAGGUUUUGAGUGGACGUAGGUUUUCCUCUCUCUAGGAUGAUGGUCACAUGGUUGGCGUAUGUUUAACUUUAUAAGAACAUGCCUGGCAGAGUGGCUGCAGCUUUUCACUUUCCCAUCAGAACUGUAGGAAUGUUCCAGUUGCUCCGUCAUUUGCUUUAAACACAAGGGGCCUCUUUGGCGCUCCUUCCUCCCGUGGUGCUCAGCUCGGGGCCACUGCCCUGGGGGCUCUUUGUGAUGUCUGGGGACAUUUUCGUUGUCACAACUUGUAGGAGGCUACUGGCAUCUUGUGGGUAGAGGCCCGGGUGCUGCUAAACACCCUCCUAUGUGCAGGCGGCCCCCCAACAGGGAGUCGUCCACCCAGGAUGCCAGCGAUGCCUGCUUGAGAUGAACCUUGACUGACCAUGUGCAGCCCAGCGGCCCCACCAUUUUCCCCGGGUGUGAGACAUACAUUUGAUCCUCUCACGUGAUUAUCUGCCUCUCUCAUUUGGUCAGUCCUGCAAGGUUUUGAGGGAAGAUGGUUAUGUUACCACACAGAGCUCCGGGCCCCACUUGUCCACCCCCUUUGUGAGGACAUGGGGAGCCCACGUGUCAUCAGCACUGUGAGAGGGCUGCUGUUUUCGUUCUGUUUCAGAGACCAGGAUGGAGAUAUACAGAGAGAUGCACACAGUGCUACCAUGAGUACUGAACGAUGCAGUGUAUCAAUGGGGUCCGGUGGGGAGCAGCCUCACCUGGCACUCACGCCUCCCACCAAUGGUGCCCUAUCCACGUCACUACAGAUGCGGGACCACGGGGCUCCCUGGACCUCUGAUCUGGCCUCCUCCAGCUGAGGACCCUUGCCAUCUCAAGGGCUGCUCAGGGAGCCACCUGCCCCUAUGUCCCCGCAGCUCCCAGCAACUCACAGAAGCUGGGAGGGCUCUCUCCCCAACUGUCUUCUUACUUUUGAGGCUCCCACAUUCUGCUAGCUUCUUCACAUGCCGAAAAUGCUGCAAACCUCCUGCACGGUCCUCUCUCUGCUUCUUUGACCUCCACCCCCCACCCACCCAAAGUGGGGGUCUUCAUGGCAGGGCCAGGUGGGGUCCUUCCUGCCACUGGGUCCUGGGCCAGAGCACAAGUUUCUGCAGCCUCUCCUCCUCCCGUCAGGCCUCCUGGUCCACGCUCACUGCUGGGCAUGGUCGCUGCCCUCUCUCGUUCUGUCCAACUGCCCGGCUGCCAUCUCUACAGCCCUGUACCACGCUGGACUGCGGGCUGUGCCACCUGCUGCCCACCGCCUUCUGUCAAGGGUGUGCGAGAUGCCACCAGCCCCGGGGAGCUUCAGUAUCUAAAGAAACAGACUGCUUUGUAAAGUGACAGGGGAGUGGCGCACAGUUCCCGUGAUUUUUAAAAUGAAAAUUGCACGUGGGGGGACGUGGUGCUGGGAAUUGUGUGCAGCCUGUGAGGGACCUGUGCCCUGUGGGGAGGGGGCUCCGUGGGGAAGGUGCCGGGCUGCUGGCAGGGCGGGCGUGCAGGGAGAGGCGGGACGGCCGCAGGGGCCAGCUCUGCGGAGGAGUCGCCUUCUCGGUGGUUAUUGGGAAAGAAGAGAUUGUCAUUUAGAAACCGAAGGGCAGGGAGUGUGAGGGAGAAUAACACAGGAAAAGCAGACGCUUUCCUAGACCAGACAGUGCACGGGGGAGCCCACAAGCUUAACUCAAAGACUUUUCAUUAUAAUUUGUAAAUAAAAAUUAAUUUAAAUUUUAAUUUAAUUAAAAUGGACAAAAUACUGCAAGACAAACAUUUUGAAGACUGGAGUCAACCCUGGCCAGGCAGUCCCUGCAAAGGCCCAGGAUGGGAGGCGUUACGAGGCCAUGUGGGGUUUGUGUUAAAAUGCAGACACUUCUGUGUUUCUCAGAGCCUCUUCACUCCCCAGCCAUCCGUCCCGUGGAUGUGGAAAAUGGCCCAGCGGCUUCUUAAUUGUUGUGAAAACUUAAUUCCCUCACUAGCCAAGAAUUAACAAAAGUAGCAUAAAAUAAGAUGGGAUGUCCCGGGCGCUUCCCGAACAUGGGAUUGUUUCCCUGGGUUUUAGUAAGCAUAGAGUGGGCGAUGGAAAGAAAAACGAAUCUAUUUAUCUCUUAAAGCCAGAUCAGAGGUAAAAUAAUUCACUUAAAGAUGAUUAAACCAAAGGAAUGACAGGUAUUUGAUAAACAUGCAGGAAAGAGUGGGCUGAAUUGGAAAGGAAAAGACAAAUAUUUGGAGGAGAGAAAUGCAGGUCAAGAUCUUCUCAAAGCCCCUCUGGUUCGGCUGAAAUAGACCCCCGUGAAUGUCCAAUAGGAUUAGUUCCAGCUUGCCAGUUUCUAGAGCAGCAGAGAAACAGGCAGCAGAUACACACCCCCGGGGACCCCUCCAGCUCAGCACCUUUGUUGUCAUGUGCUGGUAACUGAGAAGAAAUAAAUCACUUUUUUGGUCCCCAAGACUUUAGUUACCUAAUCCACUCAUUUAUUUAUUUUUUUUCCCUGAAAAAAGGUAAAUUUUAAGUAACAGUGUAUUUAUUCGUUUGGUUCUAAUUCUAGUGAUGACCAAAGCGGCAUUUGAUUUAGAAGACCGUAUCAAAGUGAUCCAAAAACCUGGUGCCCUGUAAUUAAAUGUGCUUUUAUCAAGUGCUGCCUAAUAGACCCCCGACUCUCUCUCAGCUGCCUUAGGAGGCGCCUGGCCUCCCGCAGGCCGUGGAGUCGCUCACCAAGGGCGGGCAGCAGGGUCUCUCUCCAUCCGCUGUGCCCCUGGUCCCCCUGGGUUCCCCACGCCCACGUGGAAGUGGUUCAGCCAUUUUUGGUGUUGCCGUGGUUGGGGCGCUGUGGACAUUUGGGGACGCUCCUGUGAAGCCUGGACAGUCCUAUUCUGAGAAGACUGUCUCACUGAUGCCUCUCGAGCCUCCCAGGGGCCCUGAGUGCGGGUGUGCCAGGACCAGGCCACGUGCCCAACUGUGGUGGCCAAGACGGGCAGCCGGUCCUCAUGGAACUUGAUGCGUCUGCUCUGGGGGGAGGCUGGGUGGUCAGACAUCAUGCAGGACAGGAGGAACGGCAUGAUGCAGGGGCUCGGGCCAGACAGGCCGUUGAGUCCUGUUAGGGAUUUCAUGUUUCGUCCCGAGAGCAAUGGCAGCCACUGACGCAUUCUAGGAAUGGGAGCCAUGUGGCGAGGUGUGCUUCCUUUCCUUCCUCUUCUUUUGAGCGAUUACUUUGGCCGGUUUGUGGACACUGGAUGGGAGGACGCCGAAGUGGAGGCCCUUCAGCAGCAGCCUCGGCUGGCUGAGCCCUACACCUUCCUCUGGCCACGGUCUUUGAUUACGGCUCAGGGAAAACACUCUGAGUCCCUGCGUGAGCCGAGUGGGUCCCUGGGGCCGGGCGUGUGUGCCUCAAACGUUACUGCACGUCCAACGCCUGGUGCGGACCGGCACCCUGCCUCUCUAAGAAGCCCCCGGUGAUGUGUACGCCGCUGGUCCAGGGCCCCCACUGUGGAGGUCUGGAUGAGGGGACUGUUCCGGUUCUCGCGGAAGUGCGCUGCAGCCUCACUGUUUUACAUCAGGAGUUCUUGAGCGCGCUUUAGACUUGCUACAGGAACUCAGACAAAAUAGACUGAUGGAGACAAAGUCCCUGGGGACCCCGCCUGCCUGCAGCCUCAGAACUGCACCACGUCUGGUCUUGGUCACAAGCAGGGACGUUGUAACCCACAGGUCACAUUCCAGUUCACAAAGCCGCGUGGUUCUCUUGCAUCAGAAAGAUCCCAAAGUCAGCGGGUGCUGUGCUGCGGUAAGACGAUCAGGAGGGGGAGGUCUCUGUUCUCGUUCUCUGUUGGCUAAGUCUUUUUAAAGCAAUAUAAACCGUUAACUGUAAAAAAUGCACAGGAUUCAAUGAAAAGUCUGACAUGCUAGAGAGCAAGUACUCAAUGUUCAAAACACGUUAAUUGUAUCAUGUCUGUGAUGGUUUAGUAGUAUCUCAAGAGGGAAGAUUUCGCUUGAGAGGGGAAUGGAUGUGUGUGUACAUGCAUGUGUGUAAAUGUGUAUACAUUUGUGUGCACAUGUGUACAUUUGUGUUUACACAUGCACACUCAUAAGUGUAUGUGCAUGGUGUGUACACAUGUGCAUAUCUGCACAUGAUUGCAUGCGUAUGGCAUGUGUGUACACACGUAGAUGUGUGUGCAUUCAUGUGUACACCCUGUAUGUGUGCACAUGUGUGUACUAGUGCGUGUGUGUGUGAUUAUGGAUGAGGAAGUAAUGAGGGGGCCCUGCUGGGGUUGUAUUGGUGAGAGUGAGGGUUACUUAGCGUCCUCCUUGUGAGAAGCCCCAGAUGCUUUGAUGGUGUUAUUUCAGAUCCGCGCACAGCUGCCGAGGGAGAGUAGGCUGAUGGGUGUCUCGUCAUCAUUUUGGUGGGUGGUGAAGUCAGGGGCUGGGUGAGGUCACGUGCCCGGAGUAGGGCCAGGCUGGAGGCUGUAUGAGCACGAUGGCAGCCCUGCCUCCUCGGCCGUCUCUGAGGAAGCUCCGGUGCUAGCCAGCCUGUGACUGCUGCUCCGCGAUGUUGCUCGUGUGGCAGGGCGGCGUCUGCACACUUGCUCGUCAAAACGCCGUGGAGCGGGCUGCCACCACUCAGCAAUUAGCCUCGGGGGCGCUGUGCCUGGUUCCUGCGCAGGGACCUCAUGCUCUCAGUCAGCGGGACAGACAGCUCUGAGCGGGCGGUGGCAGCAGACCCACGGCCUCUGGGUGAGCUCCUGGAACACUCGUAAAAGAAUAUUAGUCUGGGCGAGGGCUUCAAUCAGAGGAGCGACGUGAGUAUGUGACACAGAGAGUGGUAGAUUCAUGAAAAAUAACUGCUCUUUUUUUUUUUAACUUUUUAUUGAGAUUAUGAUAGUUUACAGCCUUGUGAAAUUUCAGUUGUACACUAUUGUUAGUCGUGUUGUGGGUACACCACUUCACCCUUUGUGCCCUGCCCCCAUUCCCCCCUUUCCCCUGGUAAUCACCGAUCAGUUCUCCUUGUCUAUAUGUUAACUUCCACCGAUGAGUGGAGUCAUAUAGAGUUCGUCUUUCUCUGUCUGGCUUAUUUCACUUAACGUAAUACCCUCAUGGUCCAUCCAUGUUGUUGCGAAUGGGACGAUUUUACCCUUUUUUAUGGCUAAGUAGUAUUCCAUUGUAUAUGUAUACCAUCUCUUCUUUAUCCAAUCAUCAGUUGCUGGGCACUUAGGUUGGUUCCACAUCUUGGCUAUUGUAAAUAAUGCUGCGAUGAACAUAGGGGUGCAAGGGACUCUUGGGAUUUCUGAUUUCAGGUUCUUAGGAUAGAUACCCAGUAGUGGGAUGGCUGGGUCAUAAGGUAUUUCUAUUUUUAACUUUUUGAGAAAUCUCCAUACUGUUUUCCAUAGUGGCUGUACCAGUUUGCAUUCCCACCAACAGUGUAUGAGGGUUCCUUUUUCUCCACAGCCUCUCCAACAUUUGUUGCUCUUGGUUUUGGAUAUUUUUGCCAAUCUAACGGGGGUAAGGUGAUAUUUUAGUGUAGUUUUGAUUUGCAUUUCCCUGAUGAUUAGCGAUGAUGAACAUCUUUUCAUGUGUCGACUGGCCAUAUUUAUAUCUUCUUUGGAGAAAUGUCUGUUCAUGUCCUCUGCCCAUUAUUUGAUCGGGUUGUUUGCUUUUUUGUUGUUAAGCUGUGUGAGUUCUUUGUAUAUUAUGGAGAUUAACCCUUUGUCGGAUAAGUGACUUGUAAAUAUUUUUUCCCAAUUAGUGGGCUGUUUUUUUGUUUCAAUCCUGUUUUCCCUUGCCUUGAAGAAGCUCUUUAGUCUGAUGAAGUCCCAUUUGUUUAUUCUGUCUAUUGUUUCCCUCAACUGAGGAGUUAUAGUGUCCGAAAAGAUUCUUUUGAAACUGAUGUCAAAGAGUGUACUGCCUAUAUUAGUAACUGCUCUGUGUGCUCUGGAAUGUGAAUUAGAAUUGGAUCCUCUCUUGUAAAUAACACACACAGAAUGUUAUGAUGAAAUAUUUCAGGCAGAUAUGCAAAAAGCAAACAUGACAUUACGAACACCUGUGUGCCCACCACUAACCGUCACAAUAACUGUGAUAGACGGUCCCUCUCAGUCUCUACUCUCCUUCCCCAGAGGUGACUGCUGUCCUGAAUGGACUGCUUCUGAGAGCAAUAUGCAGUACUGACAUGCAGUGGAAAGGCUACGUAAGUAGCAGCCUACUGUGUAACUGUUGUUGUGUUUCUUGGUGAAGGCUCGGCGUGCUGUUUUAAAGACAUCUGUGGUGGUAUGCAGCUUCAGCUUGCUCCUGUCACUGCUGUCUAGUCCACCAUCUAAUGGACGUGCCACAGCUUGUCCUCCCGUCAUCCGAUUGACGGACAUGUGGGUAGUUUCCAACUUUCCGGUGUUAUCAACAGUGCGGAGGGCGUAGCUUCGCGUGUGUUUCCUUGUGCACGUGUACCAGUAAGUCUCGCCGGGUAGACAACUAGGAAGAAUUGUUAGAUCUUAGGGAUGCACUCUUCAGCUGUUCUAAAUAUUGCUAGCUGUUCUCUAAAUCCUCGCAUGAGCCUCAGCGCCGACCGCGGUUUGCUCCACAUCCUCGCCGGACCAUUCUGUACUCUCCUCUGUUAAAUGAAGCCCCUGGCAGGAUGAGUAACAGUCUCUUACCAACUGUGGACGCCAAGCACUAUCCCAGUCCACACUGAAGGCUGGCGGCUCAUGGAAAAGGCAACUCAUGAGCAGACUACGAUACUCGAACUGACAACAACAAAAGAUCCUAGGCCACGUGGCUGCUGUGCUCUCUUCCAAGACAGUUCACAUGGUGGGAAAGAAUUAGGACUGUCAUCACUCCAAGUUCAUAUCAUCUAUAGAAACAUCCUAGGAAAAACUACCUUGGCUAUAAAUAUACUUAAAUACAGUCACAUUCUCUGUGGGGACGUUACAGUUCACCAGGCUAAAAGGAGUUUCUGCGGAAGCUUCGUCCCCUUGGUGAUAAAUUUUCCUAUGAAUAAAGAAUACCGAAGGGUUGAGCGCAGAGUAGUAAGAUCAAUACCCUGGUCACAUAAAGUGCCUCUCCAAUAAUGUAGCUUCAGGAGAUAACCUUGAAAACACCUUUUUACCAGUGGCAUCGACUGGGAGAUGUGUAAACAUCUUCUUUAGAAAGAGCCCAUGAAACAUGUGAGGUUGGAUUUUUAAGUUCCUCCUUCAAUGGCAUAGUCUCUUUCCUGUUCUCAUUUCACAUCCCCAAAUUAACAAAAGGCUUUCCUAUGCAGCUAACCUGUGCAGAACCCAAAUGACGUCCACUUAGCAUUAAUUGAGCACUGUCCGUAUGCCUGGCUUGAGUAUGUGUGGAGCGGUGGUGAACCCUGGCGCAUCUGCUCAAGUAGAGAGAGGAGGAAGACCACUCGAGGACACUUGCUCAUGUCACCCAAAGGGCUGAGGGCACUACCGGAGCUGUGUCAUGGGCCGGAUCCGAAGGGAGUGCAGCAGUAGGUUGGCCAGGGGGAGGAGGAGAAGGAGGGAAUAUGGUAAUGGUGGGAUGAACGCGGAAGGCAGGACAUGUUGGGGAGCUGGCUGGCCUGGAGCAGAGGGCCUGUUUGGGAAGUCAUAAACAUGAGGACGUCUAUAGAUGGGGAAAGAGAGGCGAGGUCCCCGGUCUUUGGCUUCCAGGCUAGUCUUUACCUCUUGGGGGAAGAAGUUGAUCUUUUGCUUUCAUGGAUCCCCAUCCCAGAGCAGAGGUGGGGUCUAUGUCCUUCUCCUUGACCCUGGGUGGACCUUUGUGACUUCUAGGGCAGCAGAGUAAGGUGAACCCUUCAGUUGUGGUUGAGCAUCCCAGAUGGAGCCACAUAGAUUGGACUAGCCAACCCCACCAAGCCCUGCCCAGACGAUACGUCAAUCAGCAAAGUAAAUUUCUGAGGUUUUACUAAAUUUUGGGAGGUUUUAUUACAUAGUGAUAGAUAACUGAUAAAACACCCUUAAAAGACCUGACAACCUCAUCUUGGUCCCUUUACCCACCUCUACUUGCCUCUCCAGAGGAGGAGAGGAGUGUACGUUUAGAGGUUUGUGGGGUGGUAGCUGCUCUCCUAGCAGCAUGGUCUACAGGAACCCACUAAAGUGGGGAGCUGACCAGGUGCCUGGUGAUGGGCUCAAGCCACUGGCCAGGCAGUAGUGACACAGGAACACACAGCUCAGGGACAUAUCACUCUCUUCUAGAGCCUAGAAUCCAGGGCUCGCCAACUUCAGUUUUCUAAACCCCAACACGUUUUAGAUAGAGAGAAACUUAUGAUAGUGUUGGCGAUGCACUGCCAAGACUCGGGGAGAAGCCCCCUAGAUUCUAAUUGUCCUUCCUGCACGGGAGCACCGUCUCCCACUGUGGAAGGGGUGGGUCCUUCGUCUGCCGUUGCCUCUGCGAUAGCAGAGCCAUCUCCCCACGCUGGAAACCGAGUUUCCUUAAAUGCAGGAUGAGGCCACAAGAUGCUUUCCUGGGUGUAGGGUGGGAAGGCGGCUGGACACGCAGAAGAACCAGGCUGGCUACAUUCUGAGCCCAAAGUGAAGCCUCAUUUGCUUUGAGAGGGUUUGUGGAGGUUCAGGGCUUCUUACCCCUGAAGAGGAAGAUGCUCCAGGGUAGAGCCUUGCUCCUCAGACUGGGAUCCGAGACCCGCAGCAUCGGAAUCUCCCGGGAGCCGCUAGAGCUGGAGGCAUCAGGCCCCGACCUGCCGAACAAGGCCGUGCCGUGCACAGGAGCCCGGGGAUCCGAGGAGAAGCCGGGCCUAGAGCAGUGGUUCUGAAGGGUUGCUGUGCGGCAGCCUUGCCUGAGUGCCGGGUGAAGCACAGGUCGCGGGGCCCACCUGGGCGUCUCUGAUUCAGAAGGGCUGCGGUGGGACCUGAGGGUCUGCAUUUCCGCCAGGGUCUCCGGUCGAUGCUGAUGCUCUGGUCACAUUUUGAGAGCUGCUGUCCUAGUAGAGAGACGCUGCUCCAUCUCAGCUCACUUUGGAACCCCCGGGAUUUUAUAAAACUCUGGGGCCGGGUGCCGCCCCGAGAUGUCCAGAGCUGGCUGGGGUGGGCUGUGGCCUGGGCAUCAGGAGAUGCGAAGGCUCCCCAGGGAGUGUAACGUUCAGGCUUCACUGAGAACCACUGUUUGGUGUCGUGGUCCUCAAAGCGUGCUGUGUGAAAAAGUGCCACCAACACAGCAGCUUAAAGCACAUUCAGUGUCUCCCCGUGUCUGUAGGUCUGAAGUCCAGGCACACCGGAGCCGUGUGCUCAGCUUGGGGUCUCUCUUACGGGGCUAAGAUCCUGGUGUCGGCCAGCAAUAAUCGCACCUGGAGCUCCGUCCUCUUCCACGCUCAUUCUGGUUGUCGGGAGAGUUGGCUCCUUGAGGCUGUAGACUGAGGCCCGUUUUCUUGGUGGUCAUCUACCCUGUUAAGGCAGCAAGGAGUCUUUCUUCCUCUGACUCUCCCUCCUCAUCUAAAGCCUGGAACCUUUAAGGGGUUCAUCUGAUUAGGUCAGGCCCACCCAGAAUAAACAUCGCCUUAAUUAACUCAGAACUAACUGAUUGGGGUCCUUGAUUUCAUCCACAAAAAACUGUCACCUUUCCCCGAGGUAAUGUGACCGGGUCCCACAGGAGUGAAAUCCCAUCAUAUUCACCAGUGCAGGUUGUCAUCACCAGGGGUCAGGGGUCUUGGGGGUCAUUCUGCCAACCACAUCAAACCAGCAGCCUCAGCAUCACCUGGGAACUUGUUCGAAAUGCAGACUCUCGGGCCCCUCAGACAUACUGAGUCCAAACCUCGGGGGUGGGGCUGGCAAUUUGUUUUCACAAGCCCCCCGGGGAUUCCGACUUGAGUUCCAGCCCCAGUCAAGGUGGCUUCUGUGCAGAGCACAGACGACAGCAGGGGCCGAGAGCCAGCGGUCUGUGCUAACGUGGUUCACUCACGUCAUCUUGGAGCAGCAAUUUCACGACUGACGUUUCAUGCACGAUGAAACAGGCGAGGGCAGUUGUGUCACAGCUGGCAUUUGACAGAGCUGGCUUCAAACCCUGACCUGGCUGCUUCCACGGGGCGAGCUCCUCAUGCCUCCACCGCUUCCCCAGAUCGCUGGUCAUCCAGGAGCUGAGUCGUCCUGUAGAGGCCUGUUGCAGGGCUGCGGUGGUGGUCACCAGCCAGGGUCCCACCUUUCCAGGGCUGAGGCUGUGUUGGCCUGGCCCCGUGUGUAGGGAGCUGACAGAGGGAACCCAGCACCGCCACGCCCUGAGUCACCCAGGGGCUGUCCUCGUAGAGGGGAGGCCAAGGUGGCCUGCAGCCGAGGCUUUCUAUUUGCUGCUUUUGUCUGUCUGUUUUGAUGGGCUGUGCACUGUUCUGGUGAUGAGGGCCAAAACUGGUUUACCUUGAUUCUGGGUGGCAUCCUGGCUAAGUCAUUCACUAUGCAAACACAAGCAAGUCACUUAAUCUUCCUCAGUCUGUUUCCUCAUCUGUAGAAUGGGGCCAACAAUAGCAUUUUUCUUGGACAUUUUUGUAAAUAAUGGAGAUAAUCCACCUAAGUACUUAGGAGAGCGCCACCAAGUAUGCCGUCAAUAAAUUUUAGCUGUUACUAUGAUAAUUUUCAAAUUGGAGAAGCUGUUAGAAACCAUCGUGACCCUGCACUUUACAGAGGAGGAAAAUGAGAAGAUUAAGAGACUGCCCGCAAUUAUAUAAUUAGUGGCAGCGCCUCAACCAGAAUUUUAACUCCAUCCCUCCAUCCGUCAUCCAUCAUCCAUCCUUCCAUCCCUCCCUCCAUCCAUCCAGCCCCCCAGCCAACAAACACCUAUUGAACGUCUGGGUGGUAGGCAUUGUCACUGGUAAUUCCUAGAUGAAAAACUCAUGGUUCCCGGGUUCAAGAUUCUCUUGGCUUAGGGGGUAAGAGCUUAUAAAUCGGUAAUUAUAAUGCCAUGUGAGAAUUACGCUGACGCAGGCGUACACCGGAUCCCCAGGAAAGGGGAGGGCUGCUUCUCCAGCCUGUGAGUGGCGGGAGGAGGGUUAGGAGUGGUCUUCUAGGCCUUAGAGGAUGAAAGGGUAUUAACUUGGGCAAGGAGGGUGUUCUUACCCCUGCAAAGUCUGCUCCUCCGUCUAGCCUCAGCAUCCCCUGGGAGGCUGUUAGAAAUGCAGACUCCCACGCUCCACCCCAGGCCUCCUGCCUCAGAAUCCACAUUUUCACGAGAUUCCCAGGGGAUUUGUGUACCCUUAAAGUUUACCAAGUUCUGCUCCACAUCGUAAGACGUGUUCCCUCUCACUCCCAGCUGUAUCUGUAGAAUACAAGUGCUUUCCAGAAUUCCGAUACAAAAUCUUGUUUUCUCCAUAGUUAUUGAGGGUGGAUGCAUGGUCUCCGCCCUCGUCUAACGUCUUGCCUAAAGCAUCACAGAGCACAAGGGCGGCACUGUGCUUCCUCGGCGUGUGGCAUCCAGAGAGCUGGGCUCACACAUUAAAUAAGAGCAGUGACAGUUUAUAAGCAGACCCAGGGCUUAGUCCUCAUGAAAAAUGCUGUGAAGAAUAUAUCAACUGAAUGGGCUCUGCUUCCUUAACCUUGGCGAGAAUACUCUCCCUAAGGAGAGGAAUGCCUUAGCCUUUGGCAACCAUGAUCACCAUGUCUGGGGGGGUGAGGUUCUCGCAGCCUUGCCUUGUCUUUGGGCUGCGUUGGUCCAUGUUCUGGAGCCCCGGCUGGAUGCUCAGAGCGCCGGGCUGCUGUCUGUGACCGCAGUCCUUGCAGACUCACCUCGCUUUGGGCUGAAGAGCUCAGGCCGCCUCCAGGCUGCAUGCAGACCCUGCUCUAAUUAGAGGGCGACCAGGGCGUGGCUGAGCAGUGCUGUGGGAGGAGCCUGUUUGUUGCAUUGUUUUUGCAGUGUGACAAUGAGACACAUCUGCCGAAUGUUCCCAUCUCUGACUCAUUUCCUCUGGUGACAAAUACGUUCCCCGGAGUGUGGUCUGACCCUCAUGGCCUUCCUCCGCAACCCUGAGCCCGUCCCUGCAUUGUCACGGGAACAGACUCCCGUCUCCCUCACCCUUCAGCUGUUGGCCUUCACCUGGUCUUGACAGGUGCUUUUGGAAGAGGGGGGAAGAGGCACGGGGAGGGCGGGCAGGCGGCUGACAAUGUGAAGUUGUGACCACACUGACGUUUCACUUUUACCAAAGAGCAAAUCCAUAAUUAAACCAAGAACAAAGCAGCAUCGCUAAAGAAAUCCCGUUAAGUCCAACUUCUCUUCUCACUGGAUGUACUGCAUUUGAAUCUUCACUCCAGACCUCAUUCAUGAAUUCCAGACUUGCUUUUCUUUUCUUUUUAAAGAUUGGCCCCUAACAACUGUUGCCAGUCUUCCUUUUUUUUUUUGUUUUUUCUUUCUGCUUUUUCUCCCCAAAUCCCCCCAGUACAUAGUACAUAGUUGUGGAUUCUAAUUGUAGGUUUUGCUGGUUGUGCUAUGUGGGAUGCCGCCUCAACGUGGCCUGAUGAGUGGUGCCAUGUCCGUGCCCAGGAUCCCAACCAGCAAAACCCUGGGCCUCUGUGGCGGAGUGUGCGAACUUAACUACUUGGCCACGGGGCCGGCCCCGAGACUGGCAUUUCUGUUUCUAAUGUGGGAGAAGUUGAGUUGGUGAUUUGCUGUCACCCCCAAAAUCAAUUCAAAGCAGAGUCAUAACUUCCUCCUGCGAACCUGCUUCCUCUCUUCCCGAUUUCACCGGGCGGUGUCUCUAUUCUAGCCGGGUCCUGGAAGACAUCUUAAAUGCCUUCUCUCUCCGUCCUAACCACCACAUACCACUGCCAACUCCUGUCAAUUAUACUGUCUUCAGAUACACCAAAAUCCAAAAACUUUAUUUCAUCAUGUUCUAUUUCUCCUCGUUAUAAAUGUGACACGGGUUUACAGCAGAGCUGUUACAGAGUAUAAAGACGGUAAAGAAGUAGAUGACAAUGACCCGUAACCACUGUUGGUGGUGGUGGUUGUGUUUCCUUCUAGUCUGCCUUCUGCUGUGAGAAGCUUCUUCCCACUUGUCUGUUUCUAUGUGAGCAAUUGCCCCUGAGUGUCUCUCCUUCCCUCCCACCGUGGCCUCUGCCUCCCCGAGUCCUGCAUUUCCUGACGGCGUUCCUGCGACAGCCCCUCACCAGCCUCCCUGUCUGUGUUCCAACCCUGUUCCAAGUCCGGCCUCUGCCGCACUGUCAGCGUAGGCUUUUGAAAAUGAAAUUCUCACCCUGUCGAUCAGUCCCUGAUGGAAAUCACGCCCCUUCGUCCUCCACCAGGCAGGGUCCACAUUUGCAUCACGGUGUGGAGACAUUUUGGAGCCAGUCCUUCCUCUCUUUCCGGCCUCAUCUUUGUGCUCUCAGGCACGUUCCCUCUGCUCCAGGGGGCCUGUGGUGUGGAGCUCCCUGCAUGGAUCCCUGCAUUCUCCUCUUGCUGAGUCGUUCAUUGCUUCCAUCUGGAAUGCCCACCCGGGCUCCCCUGAAAUCCAGCCCCUGCCCCUACACCUCUGUCUGCAGGAGAGCACCCAUGGGUUCUUCCAGGCUCAUCUGUUCUGUGAGUCCUCUUCUGUCUGGUGCCACGGAGACCCUUGCCCACCCCAUGCCAGCAGCCUUUUGCUGACCAGACCGCCUCCCCAGGGGACGCAUUCGUCUUUAUAUCCCCAGCACUUGGCUCUGUGCCUCCACAUGGUGGAGCCUCAACAAACGUUUGCUGAAUGAAUAAGUGAGUGAAUGAAUGAAUGGGAUCUGAGGCUUGGUGGAAGUCGUUCUUUGGAUCACCAGAUAUAAUCCAUUUUCUGUUGCUUCAAAUUUCAGUCACUCAUCACCCUGGGGUCAACUUCUCUCUGUUCCCAUCUUCUUUUUUCAGAACAACAUUCAGGAUUCCUAAACUGUAUCUUGAUGAGUCCCUUGGCAAUCUGGCCAAGAUCCCAGCAUCCUCUAAGAACUCACUGAUAACUCACACUCUGCUGGGCCCUGCUCUUCUGUUGUCAGCUGAGGUGCCAGUUAGUGACUGGCAGUUGCGAAGCCCUCACAGCAACAGAAUGAGGCCUCAAGUAAUAAGACAGUAUUGACUUCUGUUGAGAACACGCAUCAGAUGUAUUGAUCUGAAAACUAAAUGUUGACCAAGGUAAGGCUACGGUCAAUAUUUCACCUUGAAGGACAACACGCUUCAAUGGUUCGCAGAAAGAUGUAUUCUUCCACACAUUUUGAAUGCCUCUAUUAGCGGUGGCUGAGAAGUAGUUUGUGUGCUUAUAACCCACGGCGAGAGUCGUCACUGUUGUGCUCACAUCUUCUAGGAAGACUCUUUGCGCUUGUGCUUUCCAGCCCUCCAUGGCGAGGACCGAGCUCCCUGGGCCAGGUGCACGUGCUGUCCACGUUGCUAUGCUAAUCACCCCAGGAAGCAGCCUGGCACUUUCUGUUUUAAGAUAAAAGGGCCAGGUUCUAAGGGAACCAGGAUUGAGCGAGCCGAUCUAGGACCCCUAGGGUGAAUAUUCAAGUGGGUCAUUUCAAGGUCAAGUGGACACUACAUCGACAUGAUUUACAUUUAAAUAUCAUGCAGGUGAAAGUUUGGCAGCAUGUGACACUGUCUCUAUGGUGUGUAUGAAGCCAGGAUGGACCAGGUGUGUGCCCCGUGAGGAGAAACGUUGGGCCUACGGGACACAUGGUGGCCAUCGGGCUCUGUGGAGUUUUCCCCAGGGUUGGGCUGUGCCUCCCGUGGGUCCUCAGCUGCCUGGCGUAGGAGGCGGGCUCUUGGUGAUAUAGUGCAGACUUACCCGAAGUUUGCAUCCUAGAGGUGACGUGAGUGCUGGAGAGCAGGGCUGGCCUCACUGUCUUUCGAGGGGGCACAGGACCUGCAGGGCUGUAGCCAACGGGAAGGGAGGCUGGUGCCCCGUUCUGCACUCUGUUCUUCCUUGAGCGGUACACCCGUCUCUGCUCGCGCUCCUGUUCUGAAUUCAUCCUCUGUUCUGCCUUUCUCGACUCCAACUUUCCCAGGAGCACUAGAAGGUACUGAUUACCCUGAUUUCAAUGGAGGGCACCACCUCUGGGGAACGUUUCAGACAUCCGGGGGUACCCACAGUCCCUACGCGGAUGGGGAGGGUGCCGCUGGCAGCCACUAGACAUUCUGUGAUGCACGGGACAGUCCCGCACAAUAAAGCUGGCCCCUGUCCCAUGCAGCUCUCAUAUUCCUUCAUGAAGGUGAAAACCCUGUUUCUAGGGAUCUGAGUCCCAGACCAACUUCUUUUCCAUGGCAUCUUCCAAGGCAUUUUUACAUAGUUUUAGUAUAUGCUAAAUCUUCCAGAAAUGCACACAUGCUUAAAAUGAGGGAAAGUUAUUCUUUGUGUUACUUGGAGCUUUACCAAGAACUGGUCACCGUUUCAGAAAGUCACCUCAGUGCUGAGAGCACCACUCACCUCUGGGUCACCGCCCGCACGUCUGCCUCUGCUGACUUGUCACGUUCACAGUGGUUCCAACGUCAGCACACACGUGGGAUGACUUCACUACGCCUCCGUGUGGUUCUGCCCAGGAACUCACAGGGGGAACACAGAUUAUGUCUGUUAUGGUAAUCUUCCUUUUCAUGCUCUUAGGGCGUUAUGUUGAUGUUUUGAAACUGUGAUUAAUCAGGGUAGAUUUUAUUAUUUAUUUAUUUCUUUUGAAAUAGGAGAUUAUUAAAAAAAAAAAGUUAUAAAAAAGGGCAUUGGACCUGGUUGGGCUGAGACCCACUGCACCCUCUUGUGUGCGGAGGAUGGUCGCAUCUGCUUCUUGACCUUGUGCCCUUUACCCACCUCUUUCUGGAACUUGGAAUCUGUCCAGAGCGAGUCGGGCAGGACACUGCUUUUGGGGUUUGAUUCAUUUUUAGGUUCUUCUUGUAACUUUGCUCCACUCUUUCCUAGGUCUCUUUCCUCUUUUCAAAUUCCUACCUUCACUCUCUCACUCAAAUCUAUGAUGAAAUGGUUCUACUCUCCUGUCACGUAUCAUGACAUCAUAUAACAGCUACGGUACCCUCCUUUCAUGUCUGAUGUAGUCACGUCCAUUACCAAAUAAUAUGUAUGUAUAGUUUUCCUCUGGGUUUUGUUUAUAGUUUCAAGCACUUAUUCUCUGUUCUAUUGACCUUAUCAUUCAAAUUAUGUCAAUUGUAAGAAAUAUAUGUCUGUAGUUUAUGACCUAAAUCAGAAUUUUAAAUCAGACUUCACAAUAAAGAGGCAACAAUGUAAGCUGGCUGAUUCAUUAUAAAAUUGCCUCUGAUUUUACUCUUAUAUGUAGCAGUGGAUAUUUUUAACUUAAAAAUGCUUCUUUUGAUUCAUUUUUUUCUUUCAAAGCAUAUAAGGUCUUUGUAACGUAUCUCCUGUAAUUAUCGAGACAGUAGGCUGUUUGGGUCUGUGAAUUCUGGUUGUCAGUAAAUAGUGCCCUUUUCAACCUCCGAAGCCUGUUUUCCUUUGUGCGUGGUGGUGGAGAAGCACACUGCAAAUAGAGCAGAGAGAGGAGUGUGGGCCGGGCGGAGUGGAAGCCCAGAGCUGGAGGAGGAUUGCGACACCACAGCCACUUGCUGGAGAAGCCAAUUCGUGUCGUUCCCAUCCUCUAUCAUCAAAAAGAGAAAAAACCCUCAGUCUCAUUCCCUUCGCUUUUCCCGGGAAGGAGACCAUUAUGCACAAGAACCAGAGCACCGGGAGGCUGCAGGCAGGAGCACACUGCUUCUAGAUGGCCUCCUUCGAUGUCGGAAACCCGGGGGUUUGACUUGGGCCUCCUCUUUAGCAGAUAAUGCCCCAGGGCCUCCCACGUCCUUGAGCUGGGCAGGGCAGCCAGAGUGCAGAGUAGAAGGGGGCAAUUCCCCCCACAAGUUGUGCCCCAGGUCACACAGUGUGGUAAAUGCAGAGAGAGGCACAGUGGGGGUUUCAAUAAUGCGGCUCAGGAGCCCAGGAGAAAAGACCAGAACCAGGAAGGUCAGCAAAUGCACCACGCAUCGGCUCCUGGGUUCCUGAACUGAUUUUAAAGAUGAGCAAGACUUUGCACGCAGAGAAGUAGGAGUGGGAAAGCCCUACCAGGCCACGGGAACAGCACAUGCCAAGGCUUGGUGUCCUGAGAGGGGUAGGUGCUCUCUGGGUGAGUGGCAGGAAGGCUGCGGUGUGUCAGGGGAGCAGUGGGGGCUGAAUCUGGAAGGUGGGCUGGACCAGGUCGGAAAGAGUCUGGUUGCCAGGAUAAGGGGUUAGACAUCUUGUGGGCAGCUGGGGGCCUACGGAGCCCUUGUGUCCUUCACAGAAGGUAACGGCCGCUGUGCUGCGGGGAGAGCCGUGUGGAGGCCUCGGGGGGCUGAGACGAGGGAGCUAGACCUGGG